CAGAAGUAACAUCUUGAAAUUUCACCUCUGAAGUGACAGGUUUGGGCUCUUCAGAGUUCUUGAUAUAUUAUUGAGCUAUGACAUUUGCAUGAAACCAUAUAAAUAUUUUUUGCUGGCCUUGUAAGUGUCAUUAUGAGCUGGUUUUAUCAUUACUUUAAUUUCAGAGGCUGAUGUGAAGCAACUUCUCCUUUGACAGUCAGGGAAUUUCAGAAUGAGAAGUAGGCUUGCAAUCUAUUUGCACAACAGACUGAAAGUACCUUUCUUCUGUGGGUUUGAUUUGAUUGCCUUACAAUUGUCCCUGUCAUCAUCACCAUGGAAUGAAGGUCGUGAGGUGUGCUGUGCAAUGAGCUGGAGAAUUUGCUUUCGGAUCAUCGGUGGGUGGAAUGGGCUCUGCUCAGAGGAGAAGCUGGUAUUUUUAUCCAGCCUCCACAAAGCCCCCAGCUCUUGGCAGCAAUGUGUCCUGGGCCUCUGACUCGCUUCUCCCCCUUCCAAGCCGGCUCAUUUUCUAUGAGUGUUUCUUCUUCUUCCCUGACUCCUUCCAAGGUGUUUACAGAUGACCCCCAUCUCAGGAACCAAACCCUUGCCUUCGUCUGUUCAGCCUUCUCUGCUUCUCGUCACUCACCCAGGAUAGAGAUCUCAUUCUGGAGUUUGAACCUCGGCCCCCCAUUUAUGACCUGUGUUAACUUGGGAAAAUUACUUCACCUCUAUUGGCCUCGAUUUCUUCGUCUGUAAAAUGGGACCGAUAUUAGUCCUUCUACAUCUGAGUUCAUUCAAGGAGCUCUGUCCCUGGCUGCAAGUUACCUCACCCAUAAGUGUGUGUCCUACUCCUACUGGCCUGUCUAAGCUCUGUCCAAACCCAGCUUCUUCCUGUCCUGAAAGCAGCCGCUCCUUGGCCACCUCUCAGGUCUACAAAUGGGUCCUCCAGAGACUAUCUCCACGGAAGAGCUCCUUGCAGGCUGGCAGUGACUUGAGCCCCUGGAUGGGGAACCCCAUGAUCCUGGUACACGGAGUGGGGUGGGGAAGCAGGGGAUGGCACAGGCGAGGUGCUCAGAAUUGUCCCCCAUAGAGAAGCCUGGCUGAAAGAUGGCCGGAACAGGGCCCUCCAGGAGGUGGGACUCGGGGUAGGAGUCCUGGCUGUCUGGAAGGAACCAUGUUGCAGGAAAUGAACCAUGCGUUCGGGAGGGUAGUUUCUCCACAGGCUAGCUUGAAGCCCUGGUGUCCAUCACAGUUAUGGAGAUGGCAUGUCUAUAGUGCAGGAAAGAGCUUACUCCUCUCGCUAAGGCCCUGACAACCCUUUGGAGCAGCCCCAACAGAUGCCAGUUUCUUUGAGGGAUCAGUUCUUGGUGUUGCGAUGUCUAUGCUCCCCUUUCACAGACCUGCUUCCCGUGCUGCAGCACAGACCUCUCUACUCCU